rnacentral:rRNA from 1 species
UACGAAGGGGGCUAGCGUUGCUCGGAAUCACUGGGCGUAAAGCGCACGUAGGCGGAUCGUUAAGUCAGGGGUGAAAUCCUGGAGCUCAACUCCAGAACUGCCUUUGAUACUGGCGAUCUUGAGUUCGGGAGAGGUGAGUGGAACUGCGAGUGUAGAGGUGAAAUUCGUAGAUAUUCGCAAGAACACCAGUGGCGAAGGCGGCUCACUGGCCCGAUACUGACGCUGAGGCGCGAAAGCGUGGGGAGCAAACAGG